CAAAAAUCUGAACUUUUUCUCUCUUUUGUUACUGCUAAAACUCUCUUUUGUGAUGGUGAAAUAAGACCAAGAAAAAUCAAUAUAUAUGCCCCAUAGUAAUGGGCCUAUGAAAAAAAUGGGUUGGUCCAAAUUGGACUUUAUUAUUUAUCCACAUAGGAAGGGACAAAGCCCAAUAUCCUAACAUUAUUUUUACAAAAAUUAUAUCUCUCAAUUCACCAAAAGAAAUUUGGGAUUAUC
rnacentral:lncRNA from 1 species